UAUUGGUCAAUGGACGAGAGUCUGAACCAGCCAAGUAGCGUGAAGGAUGACUGCCCUAUGGGNUGUAAACUUCUUUUAUACGGGANNCANNNGNGGCACGCGUGCCUUUUUGUAUGUACCGUAUGAAUAANNNUNGNCUAACUCCGUGCCAGCAGCCGCGGUAAUACGGAGGAUCCGAGCGUUAUCCGGAUUUAUUGGGUUUAAAGGGAGCGUAGGCGGACGCUUAAGCCAGUUGUGAAAGUUUGCGGCUCAACCGUAAAAUUGCAGUUGGUACUGGGUGUCUUGAGUACAGUAGAGGCAGGCGGAAUUCGUGGUGUAGCGGUGAAAUGCUUAGAUAUCACGAAGAACUCCGAUUGCGAAGGCAGCUUACUGGAUUGUAACUGACGCUGAUGCUCGAAAGUGUGGGUAUCAAACAGG
rnacentral:rRNA from 1 species